rnacentral:lncRNA from 1 species
ACUUUUAUUGUGUUCUUCAAGAGAAUCACUCAUUACUUAUUCCCACUGGCAUCUCAUUUUUCUAAAUAAAUGCUCCAGUAUGAAAAAUCUAGGAGUCAUAAAGUAUCUUGUCACACACAGAACCAGAGAUUUUACCACUGACAGGAUGGCUCCCCUAUGGCAUGAACACAUUUGAAUGUGCUUGCCCUUUGUCUUUGAUGGCAAAGAGGACAUGUGUAACCAAGGCCACUGACUUUGAUCCAAAACAUGAAGAACAGAAAAGAAGUUGGUUAUUCCCUCUGGAACCACCUUUUCAUAUAGCUAGCAGGUGGAAUAAGAAAGAAGUGGGAGAAGACCAUCUUAAAUAAUGAAGCCAAUUCUCCAUAACAAACUUGACAACUAUAGGAAUAUGAGACAGAAUACUGGACUGAUUGACAGCCUUGACUUUAGUGUCCCACUGUCUACUGCACCAAUUAUUAGUUCCUGAUCUUUGCCAAGUUAUUUACCUCUGCGUCAGUUUCUUCAUUUGUAAAAUGAACAAUAACUGGACCAACCUCAUAGAGUUGUUGUGAUAAUUAAAUGAGUCAAUAUGUAUGAAAUACUUAAGUGUGAUUAUCUCAGUACCAAUGUGACCACGUAUCAGGUUGUAUACUGGCCAUCAAAAAUGCAAGGAAAUACAGAUAGAAUGUUUUUAAGUGUAUGAAGAAAUAUAUAGUUGAUCCUUAAAACAUUGUGAGGGUUAAGAGUAAAAUCCACAUAUAACUUUCGAUUCCCCAAAAACUUCACUACUAAUAGCUUACUCUUCACUGGAAGCCUUACCGGUAACAUAAAUAGCCAAUUAAUACAAAUUUUAUAUGUUCUAUGUAUUAUACACUAUAUACUUACAGUAAAUUAAACUACAGAAAAGACUUUAUUAAGAAAAUCACUAGGAAAAGAAAACAAAUUUACAGUACUAUAUUUUAUUUACUGGAAAAGAUCUGCAUAUAAGUGGACCCACAUAGUUCAAACCCAUGUUGCUCAAGGAUCAUGUUAAAGGGAAUAGAUAAAAGAAGGUACCAAAACUGGAAGUACGGUAAAAACUCAUAACAUUUAAUUGCACAGUAAAGCAGAUAUGAUAUGUAAUCUUUCUAUAAUGUGGUGAAUAUGUGAAUAGAUGGAAAUAGGCAAAUUAGUAUGCUUGACUUAUUAGGAACUAUAGAUUAAAUGAAGAACUUAUGUCAAGAUAAGUGCUAAAAACACUAAGUCUAGGUAACUUCUCAGUUUCUCACUGGUAAAAUGUGUCCACUGAACACAUCACUGGUAAAAGGAGGAUAUAAAUAGAAGAAUGAGCUUCUUUCCUGGUUAUAGUAAGCUCUGGCUUCACUCUAU